AUUGAACGCUGGCGGCAUGCCUUACACAUGCCAGUCGAACGGUAACAGGUCUUCGGAUGCUGACGAGUGGCGAACGGGUGAGUAAUACAUCGGAACGUGCCCGAUCGUGGGGGAUAACGGAGCGAAAGCUUUGCUAAUACCGCAUACGAUCUACGGAUGAAAGCAGGGGACCGCAAGGCCUUGCGCGGACGGAGCGGCCGAUGGCAGAUUAGGUAGUUGGUGGGAUAAAAGCUUACCAGGCCGACGAUCUGUAGCUGGUCUGAGAGGACGACCAGCCACACUGGGACUGAGACACGGCCCAGACUCCUACGGGAGGCAGCAGUGGGGAAUUUUGGACAAUGGGCGAAAGCCUGAUCCAGCCAUGCCGCGUGCAGGAUGAAGGCCUUCGGGUUGUAAACUGCUUUUGUACGGAACGAAAAGACUCUUUCUAAUAAAGAGGGUCCAUGACGGUACCGUAAGAAUAAGCACCGGCUAACUACGUG
rnacentral:rRNA from 1 species